AACCUGAGCCAUUCUGUGAUUCUAUGAGUCUAUUAUUCUGUGGUAAGAUGCAGCAGACCCAGGUCCCCAGGGCACACUGCUGGCUCCCAGCUAAUGGUGUCGGAACAACCCCCUGAGCCCUGCCCCAGUGCCCUGUGUGCCAGGAAUGCUCGUGUUCCUUUGGCAAUCAGGCAUAAUUCCUGCAGCGAAGGCUGUUGUUCCUAGAGUGCUGCGCUCAGAUGGAUGGCAGUGAGGCUGCAGGGAACUCCAAUUUGCAUUAACUCACUGAUUGCUGGCGCUUAAUGAGGAACACGUAGCUUUGAAGCUGCAGUGGUUGUACUGGCUGACAGGGAAGUUGUAGAUAAAACUUUUUUGGGGCCGGGGUGGGGGUGGGAAUUUGCCACUGAUUUACAAAUUAAACCCUGCUUUCUGAAAUCCAAGUACCAAAUGCAUGAGAUCACCAACCAGGUGCAUUAUUUCAAACAUUCCAUGUAGACACUUGCAACACCUAAACAAUUUUUUUUUCUGGCUUGCAAGUGGGAAGGCAAAUAGGGACUGUAAGAAAGGGACAGACAAGGGGAAAUGGCUUCAGACUACAAGAGGGGAGAUUGAGGCUGGAGAUAAGGAAGAAGGUUUGGCACUGAGGGCAGUGAGGCAGUGGCACAGGUUGCCCAGAGAGGUGGUGGUGCCCCGUCCCUGCAGACAGCCAAGGUCAGGCUGGACGGGGCUCUGAGCACUGCUGGAGCUGUGGCUGUCCCUGUGCACUGCAGGGAGUGGCACCAGGCGGCCUUUGAGGGUUUCUUCCACCUCAAACCCUUCUAUGAUGCUAUGAAAUAUGUUGGCCAUUUAGAAAAUGAGAUAAAAAUUGAAUGCAACGGACCUGGAGGAUUUCAUCUGAUGGGCUCUGCACUUCUCCUUGGCAUUGCUACCCAUUUACCUCAGGGUGGAAAGGCAUCAGAGACCCAGCCCUGCUCUCACCUCCAUCCAGGUCCCUGCACAGUUCUGCCAGCUGAGCUCUCGGAGGCUGACGUGGUUAACGAGUUGGGAUCCAGCAGUGUUCUGUAGAGUAAACAAGAAGAGAAGACGGGAUCGCUGUUCCCUGCUAGAAAGGCAGCAUCAGCCUCUUUUAUGAACUUUUAUCUCACUGAACUGAAGGCUGCUUCGGAAGCGUUGCUGGUGCGGGUGUUGUGCCAUG
ensembl:lncRNA